AUUGAACGCUGGCGGCAUGCUUUACACAUGCAAGUCGGACGAGUGGCGAACGGGUGAGUAAUAUAUCGGAACGUACCGAGUAAUGGGGGAUAACUAAUCGCAAGAUUAGCUAAUACCGCAUAUUAUUCGAGCGGCCGAUAUCUGAUUGGCUAGUUGGUGGGGUAAAGGCCUACCAAGGCGAAGAUAAGUAGCGGGUCUGAGAGGAUGAUCCGACACACUGGGACUGAGACACGGCCCAGACUCCUACGGGGGGCAGCAGUGGGUAAUUGUGGACAAUGGGCGAAAGCCUGAUCCAGCCAUGCCGCGUGUAUGAAGAAGGCCUUCGGGUUGUAAAGGACUUUUGUCAGGGAAGCGGUACCUGCAGAAUAAGCACCGGCUAACUACGUGCCAGCAGCCGCGGUAAUAC
rnacentral:rRNA from 1 species